UGAAAAUACCAAAAGUCACACUUGUACACAUACACAUUGUGCAAAGCUCUCUCUUCUCUUUGUUCUCUCCCUCUCUACAUAAGAACAUUUUUGCUUCUUUUUGUAUGCACAUGCGUGCCCUACUUCACUUACUAAAAGACAACGAAAGCGUGCGGUUGUAAAAAUAAAAUUAUUAACCUAAA